UAGGGAAUAUUGGUUAAUGUGCGAAAGCGCGAACCAGCAACGCCGCGUGUGCGAUGAAGGCCUUCGGGUCGUAAAGCACUUUUUGCAGGGAAGAGGAAGGACGGUACCUGCAGAAUAAGUCUCGGCUAACUACGUGCCAGCAGCCGCGGUAAAACGUAGGAGACGAGCGUUAUCCGGAUUUACUGGGCGUAAAGCGCGUGCAGGCGGCAUGGCAAGUUGGAUGUGAAAGCUCCCGGCUUAACUGGGAGAGGUCGUUCAAUACUGCCAGGGUAGAGAGUGGUAGAGGGAAGGGGAAUUCCGGGGGUGGUGGUGGAAUGGGGAGAUAUCGGGAGGAACACCAGUGGCGAGAGGGGCUGCCUGGCGCAUUUCUGACGGUCAGACGCGAA
rnacentral:rRNA from 1 species